UACGUAGGGACCGAGCGUUGUCCGGAUUCAUUGGGCGUAAAGCGCGUGUAGGCGGCCAGGUAAGUCCGUUCUGAAAGCCCGGGGCUCAACCCCGGGAGGCGGAUGGAUACUGCUUGGCUCGAGUCCGGAAGAGGCGAGUGGAAUUCCUGGUGUAGCGGUGGAAUGCGCAGAUAUCAGGAGGAACACCGGUGGCGAAGGCGGGAUCCUGGGCCAGUACUGACGCUGAGGAGCGAAAGCGUGGGGAGCAAACAGG
rnacentral:rRNA from 1 species